GGCUUUAUAGUUUAUUUAUUUAAAAUAUUAAAUUGCAAAUUUAAAGAAAGAAUUUUUUUUAAAGCUU
rnacentral:tRNA from 1 species